GGUUGUGUAGUGUAGAGGUUAUCACUGUGGAUUCUGAAAUUCGCCCCAUUGGAGCAAGAACAUUCCACUAACCUCGGUUCGAAUCCGAGCACGACCA
rnacentral:tRNA from 1 species